UACGUAGGGACCAAGCGUUGUUCGGAUUUACUGGGCGUAAAGGGCGCGUAGGCGGCAAUUCAAGUCAUCUGUGAAAUCUCCGGGCUUAACUCGGAACGGUCAGAUGAUACUGCUUUGCUAGAGUGCGGAAGGGGCAAUCGGAAUUCUUGGUGUAGCGGUGAAAUGCGUAGAUAUCAAGAGGAACACCUGAGGUGAAGACGGGUUGCUGGGCCGACACUGACGCUGAGGAGCGAAAGCAUGGGGAGCGAACAGG
rnacentral:rRNA from 1 species